rnacentral:rRNA from 1 species
GACGAACGCUGGCGGCGUGCUUAACACAUGCAAGUCGAACGAUGACGCCCGAGCUUGCUCGGUCUGAUUAGUGGCGAACGGGUGAGUAACACGUGAGCAACCUGCCCUUCACUUUGGGAUAACCUCGGGAAAUCGGGGCUAAUACCGGAUAUGAGCUCCUGUCGCAUGGCGGGUGUUGGAAAGUUUUUCGGUGAAGGAUGGGCUCGCGGCCUAUCAGUUUGUUGGUGUGGUAGUGGCUCACCAAGGCGAUGACGGGUAGCCGGCCUGAGAGGGCGACCGGCCACACGGGGACUGAGACACGGCCCAGACGCCUACGGGAGGCAGCGGUGGGGAAUAUUGCACAAUGGGCGAAAGCCUGAUGCAGCGACGCCGCGUGAGGGAUGACGGCCUUCGGGUUGGAAACCUCUUUCAGCAGGGAAGAAGCGAAAGGGACGGUACCUGCAGAAGAAGCGCCGGCUAACUACGU